CGCGCGCUCCGUGGGUACCGUCCGGGACAGCGGGGAUGGCUCCUGGGAAGCGGGUCGGCCUCCUGCGCGUCUGGCUCCGGACAGCCGCCUGGCGUCUGGGACGUGGGUCUUCCGUUCUCUCCCUCGGGUCCCCGAGGGCAGUACCGGUCGUCCGGAGUACCGGGGCUGCGACCGUCUGAGCUAGGAGCUGACUCAGCGGCAGUGCCUGAUACAGCCUGAUGCCGGGGAAGGUUUGGCCAAACCAUAUGGGAGGCCUAGAACUUUCCUCAGCUCACACAGGCAGUAGUGGCCCUGCCAGGGCUUGACCCAAGCUGUCUGAUUCUACAGAUCAGCCUGGACCCACCAGACCCUGGUGACUCCCCAUCACUUACACUCCAGGUGUAGAGUAACAGUGGUCAGCAUAGCACCGCCAGGCAUUUCUUGUCUCGGGAAGACUUGGCAGCCGACUACACAGCUGUCUGUGAAUGAUCUCCCAGGUCCAAGGACAGGAGACACACACCAGUGCACCUUUCCAAGCCAGUGUGACCUCCGACCAGUGCCAUCGGACCCACAGGCAUGGAAACAUGCACAAACACCCCGAGCUGUUGGGCCUCUGGCUGGCUCUAAGAAAACAGAAAACAGCUUAAGUUUCUUUGAUGGAACUAGAUGCACCUGAGCCUGUGUCCAGGAGAGCAAACCCGGGAGUGAGGGCCCGUGGCUGCCGCCAUGUGCAGAGGAGUCUUUUGAUUCCUAGUUGCCGAGAUCCUGGUUCUUGCAGGAGAAGAUGACCCGCGGGUUGGUGGUCCAACCCUCGUGUCCACAAGGAGUCCCCGGACAGAUGACAAGGCUGCUGCAAGGCAAGGCUGCUCCUUGCUGGACCCGCUGAAGAGGCAGCUGUGAUCUGGUCGACGGGAGGUGAAUGAGGCCCCAAGCUCAGGUAUUUUCUCAGUCGUGUGCGCUCCUACAACGUCAACGGGGACAUCCCGGCAGGGAAGGCCCAAGUGGACUGAAUGAAGGCCAGGCCCCAGGUGUCUUCCUAAAAGUGACGUUGUCCCAUCUGACUGCAGCCACGUGCCCUGGCCAUGAGCCUUCCCAGCCGCUGCAAAUGCUGACGGAACGAGGAAGUGUGCCCAACCACAGCUCACGUGCUGUCGCCUCCCACAGCGCUCCCUGUCCCCUGUCCGCACGGACGCCAAGUGCCCAGAAUGUGUUCAGGGACAGUCUUUUCUCCAGCCACACCCGUGGUGCCAGCCCCUCUGACGGCAACAGAGGUGCCCUGGCCCGGUGGCCCAGAGGCAUCUGGCAGAAGCACAA